rnacentral:precursor_RNA from 10 species
CCGAUGUUAUAUGAUGAUGUUCUGAGGUGCUGAUUGUCCGAGCGCAGUUCUUCAGUGGUCGUUGCGAUAUUCAAGAAAUGCAAUUUGGACAUCAGCACACUGCAACAGAGUAACAUCAGCACAACA